UCCGACCUGUUUUGGAAAGAACGCAACUUGGGGUUCUGAGUCACUGAGAUCGGCAGUAAGGCCAGCGUGUGUGUUAACUCGGACUGCUUUUUCCUGCUGCAGGAAACUUUGGAAGGAAUCGGCACAUUUACCCCCGUACUAAGUGGAUUGGAAGACACACCUGAGGUGCCCCAAUCCAAGGGACCCUCAGGUCCGAUGAAGACCGGUCUGCGGAGGAGGGCUUCUUCACCAGACAUUCCAACAAAGCACAGAUUGUCAGAAGGCAUCAGACCCCCACCCCCUGCCCCCAGUGUUUAAAUUCCAGGGACUGAAGAGCUGACUUUCACUUUCUAGAAGUGUCAGCAUUCCGGGCACCACCCCCACUCUCCAGUCCAAGGCCUGAGGUUUAAUUUACCACUGAUAUCAUUGGAAUGGUGAGGCGUUUUCGCAUCGUAUUAAGUUCUGCUUUCUACGAAAGUUUGUCAUGUGUCAGAAAAUGUGAAACACUCAGCUGGCCCUGGUGCCUGUUCUGACGUCACAAAGACGUCACUUUGUACUCACUGGGCCUCAGUUUUCUCACCUAAAAUGUGGACACAAGAUGAUUUUAUUUUAUUAUUUUUUUAACGUUUACUUAUUAUUGAGAGAGCAUGAACAUGGGAGGGGCAGAGAGAGGGGGAGCCACACAAUCCGAAGCAGGCUCCAGGCUCUGAGCUGUCAGCACAGAGCCCGAAGCGGGGCUUGAACCCAGGAACUGUGAGAUCAUGAACUGUGAGAUCAUGAACUGUGAGAUCAUGACCUGACCCCCAAGUAGGACGCUUAACCGACUGAGCCACCGGGCGCCCCUACAAGAUGAUUUUUAAAGAUACUUUCAGAUUGAACCAAAGAGCUAGGAGGUGACAGUUCAGUCUCAUACUCAGAUUUGGGGGCUGGGAAGCUUUGCUAAUCCCACCCCCACCCCGCCACCCCCGCAAAACCAGAGAAAUGUAACCGUUCUACUGUGAGAGCACCCAAAGGCGGGUCUCGGAAAAUAGAGAGUCCUGGGAAGACACCAGGAGUCAGCGGGCCCCUGGGAAGGAACCUUCAGGCAAGAAGGCUGCCAGGGGUUUCCUUGCUUUCCUCCUGGGGAGGAGGAGGAGGGCAGUGGGCCAAAGCGCCGGGGCAGUCAGCCCACGUGGGAGUACUGUGUGACAAAUACACUAUCUUCACAAAUUUGAUCUUAUGAUCCUGGGUCCGGUUAAAGAACAUGUCUUGCAUUGCUGGCAAACUCCUGCACGUGGAGAAUGGCGUAUUCAGAGGCAAUCGUUGCAGCACUGUUUACCAUACAGAAGAUUGGGAAGAAGCACAGCAGCCUAUCAGGAGAAACUGACCAGAAGAAGGUAGGACACACGGCCACAGAGUGCAGCAUGUGAGAUCGGAGAGGUCCUCGCCCAGGACAGACGGCAGCAGAACCACGGACGAAACCUCGAAGAAACCCGUCAGGGUUAGUGGAUACAGCUGCAUCUGUGUGAACCCGCUGGCUGGACCAUCACAACGGGAACAGCCAAGAUACGAAGGCUGGGGAAGUGCAUGGAAAGUGUUUCUACUGCUUUGCAACUUUUAAGUCCAAAGUCAAUUCAAAACAAAACAAAACAAAAAAAAACUUUUAAAGGUUAAGAAAAACAAGCACAAAACUGUUUUCGAUAAUACCACUUUUUUUUAAAUGGUAAACAUUUAAGCUGGGAACGUUCUGCUUAUUUUUUUCUUCAUAGUACUCAAUACCAUCAAACGUGUUUUAUAUUUAUGUACGGAUCAACUAUCUGUCCUCACUAGCAGGUAGCUCCCUGAGGACAAGGAUUUGGGCUGUUUUGUCAAUAACUAUGCUAAACCCAGAGCGCUGCCUGGCAUGUCGUAGGUGCUCCGCAAAUAUUUGUUGAGUGAAUAAGGAACAGCUGCUCACUGAUUGGUUUCAUUUAUUUGUAUCUGUUGUGCAACAUUUUAAUAAUGAGCAUUACCGGGUGAUACAGCUACGAGAUAUCCCCCCCCCCAGACUAUUCUCGGGUGCACAUGAGUUACUUUUACAAUUGGAGAAAAAACACAUUUUGUAAAAUUAAUUGCUUGUGCAACAUUGUGACAACAGCAGAUAUGCAACGACAGCCAAGGGAGUUUGGAUGGGGAAAUUGGGUCAAGAGCAGUGGCAGCUGUGGAGGUGGGGUGUUUGGGCGGGCUGGGGCAGUGCAGGGCACCAGAGGAAGGUGGAGCCAUGGAAGGUAGAGCCGGUCCCCAAAGAUGGGCCAAGAGCACCCAAGGCAAACAGAGGCUUCUUCGCCCCCUACCUGGGCUAGGGGCCUCAAUUCUGAGUGUGGUUCUGAUGCUAACUACUCACUGACCUGGGACAAGUUACUCUCCCUGUGAAAUGCAGGGAGGAGGCAAA